GAUGAACGCUGGCGGCGUGCCUAAUACAUGCAAGUCGAGCGAACAGACGAGGAGCUUGCUCCUCUGACGUUAGCGGCGGACGGGUGAGUAACACGUGUAUAACCUACCUAUAUGACUGGUAUCACUUCGGGAAACCGGAGCUAAUACCGGAUAAUAUAUUGAACCGCAUGGUUCAAUAGUGAAUGACGGUUUUGCUGUCUCUUAUAGAUGGAUCCGCGCCGCAUUAGCUAGUUGGUAAGGUAACGGCCUAUCAAGGCAACGAUGCGUAGCCGACCUGACAGGGGGAUAGGCCACACUGGAACGUGAACACGGACCAGGCGCCUACGGGAGGGAGCAGUAGGGAAUCUUCCGCAAUGGGCGAAAACCUGACGGAACAAGGGCGCGUGAGAGAUGGAGGUGUUCGGAUCGGAAAACUGUGUUAUUAGGGAAGAACAAAUGUGGAAGGUACUGAGGACGGAGUGACGGUACCUAAUAAAAAAGCCCCGGCUAACUACGUG
rnacentral:rRNA from 1 species